GCAUCAAUGAAAUAAUGAAUGCUCUCCUUUUAUAUAUGUUUCUCCUCCAUUUCUCUCUCUUUUCUUCUUUUUCCCCCAAAUUUUUUUCUUUUUAAUUGACAUCUUUGUAGAGUGUAGAGGAUUGAACGAUGAUGAUAACAAUUUGGUUCGCUCGUCGUACGUAAUGGCACAAUUGCCUUGUCGAAAUUGCAGAAUGCUUCUGAGUUCUCUAUUUCUUACUCUACAGUUUGAUCCUAAUAUGAUUUCUUUCUUUUUAGUAAAUGUUAUGUGAAGUCCCCAAAUUGUCAAAUUCUUUUCACUAUUAACUACGAUUUGUUAAACAAUUCUUCUUUCUUUUCCCUCAAAGUUUUCAGUUGUUUUAAUUAGUCACAAGUGAAAAUUACACACAAGUGAUCUUUUGAAAUUUUAAUUAAUCAUAAGGCCACUUAAUUUUUCUUGUACGCAUAAGCCAUAAGGCCACUUGUAUUCACAAAUUAUUUCAUUAUUGACAAUUUUACCCUCCACUUAAGAGACCAAAUUUUAUUAACCUUACAUCGAUCUCUCUCUACCCGAUCACAGUCUCUCUCUCCUCGACCACAGAUAUUCACGUCUUUGGGCUCCGCCUCCGAUUCCGGCGACCACCGGCAUGGCGCUCUCUCUCUCCUCAAUCACAGAUCACGUCUUGGUCUCCACCUCCAAUUUCAUAGACCACCGGCACGGUGCUUUCUCUCUCACACUCUCUCCUCGAUCACAGAUCUUCACGGCGCCGGCAUGAUGGUUCACCGAGAAAAUGGUGAAUGUGAUGCUCCGAUCUGGUGCGCUUCGAACAGCCCUGCGCGGUGGCUCUCGGUCCUCUGCUCCGCCCAAGCGGCCCUUCUCCUCCACCGCCGGCCACAACUAUGCUUAUGACUACUACAAUUGCCAUCGAGGAUGUGAGAAGGGAAGUCAAGAUAUUGAAAGCUUUGACCGGGCAUAGCAAUCUAGUACAAUUUUAUGAUGCAUUCGAAGACCAUGAUAAUGUCUAAGUAGUUAUGGAGUAUUUCAGUCAGAAAAAGCCUCAAGCCUAUUGCAAACCACCGGUUGUUGUUAAGCCGAACUGGAAUCCCAGAGGCAAGCCUUGUUCAAGCAAAGUCAGAUCAAGUUUUGGGAGAAAAUGUGUUUAUUUUGUUUUUAAAUUAGCAAAUUGUGUUGAAUUUGUAGAUAAGGAGCAGAUGAGGAUAGUGAAGGAGGCAUUGCACUUGUCUACGGUUCCCUCUAGUGUUACGUGCCGCGAAGUGGAGCAGAAGAGGGUUCUGGAGUUCUGCAAGUCAUGCAUAGAGCAAGAGAAGGCUCAUGGAUACAGUUUUUGUAUUACAAUUUGGAGAAAAUUUGAAGCCAAAAUGAUGAAGGAUUAAGUUUGCUCUAUUUUCAUUUUUAUAUUAUUGGGGAAACAGGGUAAUGCGAGCAAGUGUUGGAAGUUUCAAGCCCUGUAGGAGAAAGAUAAUAGUAGUGAAUGUUCAAAUAACUUCUCAAAAUGAGAGGUGAAAGAGAUGUGGUCUUCGAAGUACUGGGGAUGUCUAUAAUGGAGACUUUAAGGACCACAAGCAUUUGAGACCCUGGGACCUAGUGGUGAAGAGUGUUGAAAGAAGACAGUAAGGCUCAGUUUGAUUCAUUCGUGGUUAAGUAGCUUCAAAUUCCUCGUGGUGUGGCAAGGAGGUUGGAAGGGAUGGUGGGAAGAGGUGUCUGAAGGCAAGAAAGAUCACUUGGUUCAGGUGACUCGAAUUAAGGAGAAAAAGGAAGUUUCAGAGUGGGAAACUUAGCUUAGUAAUAGAAAUGGGAGACUUAGCUUAGUAAUAGAAACUUCGAUUUGGGAAUGGGCUUCAUGAAAAUGGUUGGCAUCCCAAGUAUUCCUAGAGGUUCAGGUUGGAGCCCAUGGACAGGUAUCCCUUAAACGAUGUUUUUGCUUUUGUUGUUUGGCGUUGGAAAAUGGGAAAAAAAAUGAGGUUUUGGGAAGAACAUUGGUUGGGGGAAGCAACCUUUUGUGUUCUUUAUCUCAUGACCUCAUCUCUAUUUUCUUUCCGAAUAGCAUAAUUUGUGGAUUCCUAGUUUCUGUGUCGAUUGAAGUAAUCAUAAAUAAGGAGGUAGGGGAGCUUAUAGCAAUUUGUUAAAAAAGGAGAGCGGGGAGGUUGUUUGUGUUCUACAGUUCUGCUUGUCGAAUCCUAGUUUCUAUUUUGCUUGUUUCAGAUACACUAUUAAUAGAUAGCACGGAAGUUCGAGUCUGUUCAGUAGCUUCUUUUAUGGCAAUGUUUCUUCAAGGACACUAGCUAGUGUGAGCUUAAUUGAAACUCUGCUAGGGAGUUGAUCGAGUUUUUCGGAGGUGAGAAAAGGGGCGUGGUUUUGAAGAGACGUGCUACGUUGGCAAUGUUCUGGGUAUUGAGGGUUUCGGAUAUUCUUAAGGGUGGGGAGGUAGAACACCUAUGUGUAUUGUUUGUUGUCCAACAAAUAACUGCAAUAUUUCUCGGUCAAUUAAGUGCUUGCUAGUUAUUCUUCUUUGCCUUUGGUGAUGUUGUUCUAGAAAUUUUUUCAGUGGUUGGCCAGAUAAUCCGAGUUUGGAAGGCGAUAUGGUUUAUUUUCUUGAAUGGGUAAGAACUUUGUUUUUGUGCCCCCACCAUAAGAACUAUUCAGAUUUUCACUUUGACAUGUUCAUCAAUGGUUCAUGGUUCAUGAUUCUACCCUAAACAAUCUUCUGUUGGAAUUGAGCAUCUCCUUAAGCUUGUAAACAUUUUAUAUAUCUUCAGCAUUGUUUUGGCUCUCAUAAUUCUACGAUACUAAUGUAUUCUUCCUCCUUGGGCUUGCAACUUGCUUGAAAACAAACCUGAUGUUGAACUAGUUGACUCUAGAUUAUCUGAAUUCAAUGAGGAAGAAGCAAGACGAACGACCAAUGCAGGACUUUUGUGCACUCGAUCAUCACCAAUCCUACAACCACCGUCUUGUUGGUCCGAAUGCGUUCUGGAGAUAUCGAAGUGAUGCCUGCUACUUCAAAGCCCGGUUACAUGAUCGACCACUGGAAGUACUGUCACCAGUCUAUAUAUCAACUGAUCGAUAUGUCAACUAGAGGAAUUCACUUCAGCUUUUACAACUCAUCGGCAAAUACAAGUUGAUGAUGAUGCAGGGAUACUUCAGAUGCCACUGUUCCCAUACUAAGAAAAUACAAAUGGUGAUACUAGAUGAGAAUUUUGAAAGAAUCGAAUAACUGAUCCACCCUAGUGAUUGAUUUUGUUUAUUUUUUCUGGGGUUAGGAAGGAGGGAGUAUAAACAGAUCGACAACUUUUGAUUCUUGAUCAUGUAUGUAUUUGCAGCAAUUGAACCUAUAGGCUAUGAAUGGGACUGCUCCAAAUAUGCCUUCCUUCAGAUUUA